AACCCUUAUUUUAUUUUAUAUUGUUUGUAUUAAGAAAAAUACGGCCUAAUCAGUACCCUCGUUGAACUGGCGUGUUUUGCCAGAGCCAAGGGUGAAUGACUUUUUGUUUUGCCAUGGAUGUGGCCUUUGUUCUUUCUGAGCCUAGCUGCUAUGACAAGUGAAGGGCAAAAAUUGGUAGAGGGAGGACUGAAGAUGUAGCAGUUAUUGGUGUUAUUAGAGGACCUGUCAGUCAUUGGAUUGAUAGAACGCAAGGAAAGUGUUGUCAUCGAUUAUGAACUUAUACUUCAAUCCCUGUAAAGCUUACAAGAUCCAGUGACAAAACACUGUUGGAUUUGGAACGUAUAAAAUGCAGCUCAAGUCUUAAAUCUUUUGUAUUCUGGUUUUCUUCAAGGGAUUCUGUAGAAUACAUAUGCUAGUGUUAAUUUAUUCAAGAGGCUUUAAACUAUAAGUAUAGCAUUUGAGAUGUUUCAAAGAUUGACAAUUGUGAAGCUUCUUCAUUUGUUGUAUUCUGUAUGUGUCCAACACAAAUUGGCCUUCCAUAACUCAACGUGCCUGGUCUACUUUCAGACUGGCUUAUGUCUUAAACACAUGAACUUAAAGGUUCUUCAGUUGUUGUGGACUGAGUGAAUCCAAAGGUGUGCUAUAAUUUAAUUUGUUUCUUGUAUUAGAUCGAAUUGAAUGAAGUCUUUGUCAAGGUGAUGGUAGA